rnacentral:misc_RNA from 1 species
UUUCUUGAUUAUUGUUCCAGAAUGGAAUACAAGAAAUAGCUACUGAGCUUUAUAUAACAACUCAAUAACCUCCCUAACUACUGAAGUAGUUACAGCAGAGUAAUUGCAACAGCUUAGCAACUCCUGUAACCAACUUUCUCCUUUUCCUGCCAAUCCUAACCACCAAACCCACUCCAAAACUAACUCACAACAUCCCUAACUACCUCUUUCUAUAUCUCCUCCUCUGAUAUGUAACAUUCUGUUAAUUUGGAUAACUUUGUUUAGCAUUCCAGUGUAGGCCUGUAAAUUGAAGUUCUACAUUUUAUUUUAUGGCCAUUCCUUUGAAUCACUUUGUUCAGUUUGCUUUUCAAUGAUUUAGGUUGGACAAACCAGAAUUUUUACAUGAAAUUCACAUGUAAAAAAAGAGGAAGAAGAAAAAAAACCUUGGUCUUGGAAUAAAAUUUGCAGCACUACUAAUGUGGUGGUGAGUGAAGACAGAUUGCCAACACAUUGAGGUCUCUAAUACAUAAAAUAUAAGUGGCUAUUUCCCCAUGCCUUAGAUUCUAAUAACUAAUUCUCUCAAGUUAUACGCAAACUCAACAGCAAGUUUGUUAUGCAGAGUUUGUGCAAACACAUGUAUGCUCUGUUCUGGGAAAAAUAAAGUUCACUCAGUUUGUGCUCUGAAGGGCAUACAUUCAAGUGUUUUCUUGCAAGACCAAAGGUGUUCCUAUCCUAAAUAAUUAGUCCUCUUGUUAAUCUUGUUUUACGAGAAUUUUUUUCUUCUGGUCAACUUUAAUAUUCCAUUUAUUCGAUGAUAUUUAGAAAAUGUGCUUCAAAAAAAGUAGUCAUUUUACGUUUUUCAUUUGUAAAUAUGUAUGGUGCAAUUCAACUUCUUGAUUCAUCAUGUGUGCUGAAAAAUUAGAAAACAAUGAAAGGAAAAAAAAAAAA